rnacentral:rRNA from 1 species
UACGACUACAUAUCAGGCAUAUCAAUAAGCGGAGGAAAAGAAACUAACUAGGAUUCCCUCAGUAACGGCGAGUGAAGCGGGAAGAGCUCAAAUUUGAAAUCUUCAAGGUUCUACCUUGACGAAUUGUAGUUUAUAGAAGUGUUUUCUGUUAGUGAGUGGCUAAAAGUUCUUUGGAAUAGGACAUCAUAGAGGGUGAGAAUCCCGUAUUUGGUCAUUCCUCCUAGCUGUUGUGAUACACUUUCAACGAGUCGGAUUGUUUGGGAAUGCAGUCCAAAAUGGGUGGUAAAUUUCAUCUAAAGCUAAAUAUUGGCGAGAGACCGAUAGCGAACAAGUACCGUGAGGGAAAGAUGAAAAGAACUUUGAAAAGAGAGUUAAACAGUACGUGAAAUUGUCAAAAGGGAAGCGUUUGACACCAGUGUUGUUUUCUCGAAAAUCAAUUAAAAAAGGAUUGGAUUUUGUGUUGUAUUGACCUUCAUCAGCUUUCUGCACUCUUUUCGUGUCUUUUUUAAUGCACUUUUCGUUUAACAAGUCAACAUCAAGUUUCUUUUGUUGUAAAAGGGUCAUUGGAAGGUGGCUUUCUUUUCGGAGAAAGUGUUUAUAGCCUUUGGCCUCUGCAAUCGGAGAGAUUGAGGCCUGCAGCGUAGAUCCUUCUGGGUUAGAUACAUUUGUGCUAAGUUAUAGCCUUUCAUAGACAACUUGUUGACUAUGAUCAGUCAUGUAGCUUACUCGCUUAUGCUAUUUUACCUACGCUUAGGAUGUUGACGCGCGUGUGUGCGUG